CCCAGUUAAUGUUCAGUCACCGUCUGUGAUAUGAGAGAAGAGGGUCAGUGUGGUGUGAGAGUGCUGGGAGGCUGGGAGCUGAAGGUGGAGCUCUUGCCAGGUCAGCCCUUGGGCCCUGCCUUCAGCCUCGCUGUGUUCCCUCAACAUGAUCUGCUCUGUCCUCUUCAAUGAGUGCUGUGACUAUAAGGUAAUGUUCACAAGGAAAUUGACAGAUUGAGGCCCAGGACUGAUGCUCCUGCAUGAGCGACAGGACCCAGAUGCCCCACAUAGAUGCUGUGGUGCAUGAGGUCCAGAGAUACAUGGAUACUCUCCCCUCCAGUCUGCCUCACGCUGCGAUCCGCGACACCAAUUCAGACAGUUCUUCACUCCUAAGGUCCUUCCAGUUGUGGCAUGUGGGACGCUGCCUCAGCGUGGUUUGAUUCGAACCAAC